rnacentral:rRNA from 1 species
ACUCCUACGGGAGGCAGCAGUGGGGAAUAUUGGACAAUGGGGGGAACCCUGAUCCAGCCAUGCCGCGUGUGUGAAGAAGGCCUUUUGGUUGUAAAGCACUUUAAGCGAGGAGGAGGCUCCUGUAGAUAAUACCUACAGUGAGUGGACGUUACUCGCAGAAUAAGCACCGGCUAACUCUGUGCCAGCAGCCGCGGUAAUACAGAGGGUGCGAGCGUUAAUCGGAUUUACUGGGCGUAAAGCGUGCGUAGGCGGCUUCGUAAGUUGGAUGUGAAAUCCCCCGAGCUUAACUUGGGAAUUGCAUUCAAAACUGCGAGGCUAGAGUAUGGGAGAGGAUGGUAGAAUUCCAGGUGUAGCGGUGAAAUGCGUAGAGAUCUGGAGGAAUACCGAUGGCGAAGGCAGCCAUCUGGCCUAAUACUGACGCUGAGGUACGAAAGCAUGGGGAGCAAACAGGAUUAGAUACCCUGGUAGCUA